rnacentral:lncRNA from 1 species
GCCAUUCUCUAAUCUUGAGUACCCAGGGACACGAUACACUGCGGAAGGCUGCAGGGACCUCUGCCCAGGAAAGCCAGGCUUGCAUGAAGGAAAUGAUUUCCUAUGAUUCUGCUUACUGCUUAAAAAAAUUAAUCAAGUUUUCUGCCUGACAAGAUCCAGUAUCUGCCGGAGGAGCCCCACCUUCUGCUACUAUUAUGUUCUUCAGAUGAGUAGAAGAGAGUGGGGAGGGAGAGAGCAGGAAGAAGAAAGGAAGAAUAAUGUCUUGAAAUUGUUUUCUAAGGAUAAUGGUCUCCAGCUUCGUCAAUGUUCCUGCAAAGGACAUGAUGCUGACUUUGAAGAUGCAAGCUUCCACAUCUACAGCCUCAAGGAAACAAAUUCAGCCAACCAACUGAGGGAGCUUUCCUUGUCCUGCCUCAAGAUGAGAUCACAGUCUGCCCAACACCAUGAUUUAGGCCUUGUGACACCUGAGCUCAGAUGGAAAAGAAUGGUGUUACUGAGACCCUUCAAGAUUCCCAGUGUAAUUCAAUAAAGAAAAGGCAACACAAAGGGGUUGUAUAGAAUUCGCCACAUUAUGGACCCAUGUCAUAGAGAGAAUCCACGGUGCAUUUGUUAGCUGCAUUUAAAUGACAACACUUUCAGAUCCAAGAUUUAUUUGGGAUAAAAAUUUACCUGGAUGCAAGGCUAUUCAGAAUGAAGAUUAAUGAUAUGGUUUGGCUGUGUCCCCACCCAAACUUCAUCUUGAAUUCCCACGUGUUGUGAGAGGGACCUGGUGGGAGAUAAUUGAACCAUGGGGGCAGGUCUUUCUCAUGCUGUUCUCAUGAGAGUGAAUAAGUCUCAUGAAACCUGAUGGUUUUAUAAGGGGGAAUUUCCCUGCACAAGCUCUCUCUCUGCCUUUUGCCAUCCAUGUAAGACGUGACUUGGUCCUCCUUGCCUUCUACCAUGAUUAUGAGGCCUCCCCAGCCACGUGGAACUGUGAGUCCAUUAAACCUCUUUCUUUUGUAAA